ACAACGAAGAGUUUGAUCCUGGCUCAGGAUGAACGCUAGCGGCAGGCUUAACACAUGCAAGUCGAGGGGUAAUCCCGCUUUCGAGCGGGAACGACCGGCGCACGGGUGAGUAACGCGUAUGGAACCUACCUGCAACAGGGGUAUAGCCUCCGGAAACGGAUGUUAAUCCCCCAUAAAGUUUAUUGGUGGCCUCACCGAUAAAUUAAAGCUAAGGCGG
rnacentral:rRNA from 1 species